rnacentral:lncRNA from 10 species
GGUCCUUCAAAAUAAUACAGAGGAAAAUUAAAAGGAUAGGGUGUUGCACUCAUGGGUACAAAAGGCUAAAGCACUUUGACUUCAGAGUAAACCCCUCUUUAUUUUGUCAAAUGGUAGCCUUGUCUGCCUGUUGGUCUGUUCCCAGGCCACCUAUCUUACAGGGAACUCUGCCUGUUGACAAGUGUCAUGCCUUUCUAUGAAGCCUACCCUCUUCUUCAAAAGGAUUGUUAGGGAAACAGGACAACCAAACUGCAGAUGCAACUCACACAGGAGGAAAAAGAAUAGAAUGGAAGAGACAGAUCAAGACGAACAGACAGAACAACCAACACCUGGAUGAAAAAGAAACAAUUUAGGUAAGAGAAGAGAAUUUAAAAAAAAUUAAAAUUCUACUUAGUGUCUUCGGGAGUAUUAAGGAAGUUGGAUCCAUAAAACAAAGAUGACUACUAAACAAAAAGAAGCAAUUAGAAGAUACAAAAGAGUUCUUGGAAAUUUAAAUAUUCAGUAUACAUGCUAAAUAUUAGAAAGAACACAGUUGAAAAAAAGAUCGGCAAUCUGAAAGAUAAAGUCACAGAGAGAUAAAUAAUAAAAUAAAUAGAUGAGAAACGUGAUGGAAAAGUUAAGGGACAUGGUAGAUUUAGUGGGUACAGCAUUCAUAGAAAUCACAUAAGGAUACACUUGAGGGAGUGGAAAGGAGAAAAUGAUGGAAGACAAUUUUUUUUUGAACUGAAGAUAGAAAGAUUUCUUUAGAUUGAAAAGGUCCCCUAAGAGCCAAGAAGAAAAAUAAAAUCUAGCAUCAUUUUGAUAACAAUUCAAACUCUAAUGAUAAAAAGGAAAUCCUAGAAGCUUUCAGAGACAAAACAAGAUCAUUACAAAGGAAUAAGCAUCGGCAUUGGGAGCACUUCAGCAAUACUGGUAGUAUAACAGUUCUUUCCAAGCUUGAGAUAAAAAUGAUUUCAAAUCUUGAAUCUGUAAACAAACAAUCAAGUCAUGGUAGGAUAGGUUGUCAAAAUGAAAAGAUUCAGAAAGUUUACAACCAAUGGGCACCAUAUGAAGAAAACUGAGAAUGUGCAAGGUAAAUACAGAAGAUACUGGAAACAGUAAGGACCAGGAUGACCCAGGUGACACAAUUCUUUAGCUGUUACUGUACUUGAUUUUACAAGAAAAAUACUUAUGUGUUCAUUACAAUUACAUUGUAAGGGCUGUUUGUUUUUAGUUUUAAAAAUGAACCUAAGGCCCAGAGAAUAUAAUUUUAGGUACUGAUCAUAAUGUAAACUAUUAUAAACUUAACAAUGUAAGAAAUCAUAACAAUAAAAUUUCAAUUUAAAAUU